UACGUAGGGUGCGAGCGUUAAUCGGAAUUACUGGGCGUAAAGCGUGCGUAGGCGGUUUGUCGCGUCUGCUGUGAAAUCCCGAGGCUCAACCUCGGGUCUGCAGUGGGUACGGGCAGACUGGAGUGCGGUAGGGGAGAAUGGAAUUCCUGGUGUAGCGGUGGAAUGCGCAGAUAUCAGGAGGAACACCGAUGGCGAAGGCAGUUCUCUGGGCCGUAACUGACGCUGAGGAGCGAAAGCGUGGGGAGCGAACAGG
rnacentral:rRNA from 1 species